rnacentral:piRNA from 1 species
CAGCCCUAGGCGAGACGCCAA